rnacentral:misc_RNA from 1 species
GGAGGUUACAUAUAAAUUAUUCAAAUAAUCAAUCAAUCAACUAAGCCCCCCAACCCUAACCCUAAGUCAGAGGAAAAAGUACCUGAACACGAGCAGCAACAUCCAUAGGGGAAUCAAGAAGCAUACCAACGUCUCUCCUCAAUUGCCUCGAUCACAAUCACCUCCGUCGCAAUUCGCCAUUGUCAUUUUAGAGAAAUUGAUGGUUCUUCAGAGCCAUGAGAACUGAGAAGAGCGUGUUUGAGUGAGAAUGAAUA